rnacentral:lncRNA from 1 species
CUUCUCCCUAGGGCCUCGCGGGCCUCGUGCGUGCGCACGCGCGCCGUCCCCCGGAGGCGUCUGGGUGUGCGGAGCGCGCGCGCGCGGCUCGGAGGCGCACCUGUGAGGUGUCCCCGGAGGAACGGCGGGUGGGCGCGCGGAGCCCGCGGCCUGGGGCGCUCGCAGCCCGCACUUGGACGCGCAGGCCGCGGAGCAUCGCGCUCAGGUGAUGAAGAGCGCGUCGCGCACCCGGCGCAGGAGCCAGCCGCCGCCGGACGCCUCCAUUGUUUGACCACGCCAGGCCGGCCCUGCCCAGCAGGAUCCUCAGGCUGGAGGAAGUCACCUGCUCUUGCACCCUGCAGCCACUGUGGGCCCUGCCUCUGCCUCCUCUUCUGGAAUGUCUUGAGGGUUCUGAUUCCUGUCACUGUGACCUGCAAAUCCAAGAGACACAUCCCUCUGGAAGAGAAGAGAACUGCGUCCUCAGGAUUAAAAAAGAAGACUGGUGUGCUACCUGUGUAGGAAUUCCCAGGAGCAAGACUCGCCACACCUGAGCUCACUGUAAAGGCUAUGCAGCUGUGCAGGAGCAGAAGGAUGUACUGACCGUCUCAAGGGAGGCUGUGGAUGCUCAUGACCAUCAGUGCUCUCUCACCCUCCAAAACUGGGUGCACACUGUGCGGUCCUUUUCUAGACGUGAGAAGUACAAGAUUACUCUAUGAGAGGAAGGCUCCAGGGGCUUAAAGACACGUGCACCUUGGCCACCCCUUGGAAUGUUGACGACUCAGGAUCUAAAGGAAAUUCUGUGUUAGAGUAUGGAAUUCAUGUGGAAGUAAAUGUCACUUUAUAAUCGGUAAUAACACUGAGUAAGGAACACUAUGCAGGAAGAAACCUUCCUUAGAAAGACAGGCAGGGAAAAGCUUAGGCCGACCUUAAACUUGCCCAGCAGCUUAAGCCUGAGAUAGGCUGCCAGAAUGGCCAAAUAAGAGACUCUAUGAAGUAGCAGUCCUGUAACUGUAGUAGUUGUAAGGAAAUUUUCUCCUCUAAAU